AAGGUAGCAUAAUCGUUAGUUUUUUAAUUGGAAUCUUGUAUGAAUGGUUGGAUAAAAGAAAUACUGUCUCUUAUAUUUUUAUUGAAUUUAACUUUUAAGUGAAAAGGCUUAAAUAUUUUAAAAAGACGAUAAGACCCUAUAAAGCUUUAUAAUUAAGUUUAUUUUAUUGAAUUAAUAUAUAAAAUUUUAAUAGAUUAUAUUAUUUUGUUGGGGAGAUAAGAUUAUAAUUAUGAAUAACUGUUAAUAAAUUAUACAAUUAUAUUUGAAUAAGUUUUUAUGAUAGAUCCUUAAUAAAGAUUAAAAGUUUAAGUUACUUUAGGGAUAACAGCGUUAUUUUUCUUGAGAGUUCAUAUCGAAAGAAAAGAUUGCGACCUCGAUGUUGAAUUAAAAUUUCUAGAUAA
rnacentral:rRNA from 1 species